rnacentral:rRNA from 1 species
CCUACGGGCCGCACCAGUAGGGAAUCUUCGGCAAUGGACGAAAGUCUGACCGAGCAACGCCGCGUGAGUGAAGAAGGCUUUCGGAUCGUAAAACUCUGUUGGUAGAGAAGAACGUUGGUGAGAGUGGAAAGCUCAUCAAGUGACGGUAACUACCCAGAAAGGGACGGCUAACUACGUGCCAGCAGCCGCGGUAAUACGUAGGUCCCGAGCGUUGUCCGGAUUUAUUGGGCGUAAAGCGAGCGCAGGUGGUUUAUUAAGUCUGGUGUAAAAGGCAGUGGCUCAACCAUUGUAUGCAUUGGAAACUGGUAGACUUGAGUGCAGGAGAGGAGAGUGGAAUUCCAUGUGUAGCGGUGAAAUGCGUAGAUAUAUGGAGGAACACCGGUGGCGAAAGCGGCUCUCUGGCCUGUAACUGACACUGAGGCUCGAAAGCGUGGGGAGCAAACAGGAUUAGAUACCCUUGUAGUC